rnacentral:rRNA from 1 species
GGGGGACAACGGUCCGAAAGGACCGCUAAUACCGCAUACGUUCUUGGGACUUUGGCUUGGGAAGGAAAGCUGGGCAACUGGCGCUAAAUGAGAAGCCUGCGUCGCAUCAGCUAGUUGGUGGGGUAAUGGCCUACCAAGGCGAAGACGCGUAGCUGGUCUGAGAGGAUGAUCAGCCACACUGGAACUGAGACACGGUCCAGACUCCUACGGGAGGCAGCAGUGGGAAUAUUGGACAAUGGGCGCAAGCCUGAUCCAGCCACGCCGCGUGAGUGAUGAAGGCCUUCGGGUCGUAAAGCUCUGUGGGGAGAGACGAACCGCUGGGGUAACCCUUCAGCAUGACGGUAUCUCCUUAGCAAGCACCGGCUAACUUCGUG